UCCUUUGGCGGCCUUGCAGCUUUUAUGGCUCCAGGCCUAUCCAUACCUCCCCUGGGAGUGGUUGGACUAUGCAGCUGUGACUUGUGCUGACUUGUGCUGUGACUCUUGGGGUGUCCUGUGCAGGGUCAGAAGCUGGACUUGAUGAUCCUGGUGUGUCCCUUCUGACUCAGGAUAUUGUAUGACUCGAUGACUCCAAACCCACACCUCACAGCACAGGAAAUGAGAACAGUGAUCUGAUUUCUUGGCCAAGCCUUGAGAGACUGCCUUCAGAAGGAGAAGAUGGGAAACUGAUUUUUAACAGUGACUCAGUGUCAUCAUCUUCAGCCCAGCCCCGACUCAAACUAUCAAACAACCUGUACUGAAUAAGGAAGAAAUCUGCACCCCAGGUUUCCUGCAUGCAAGCAAGAAGCAACAAAAAACCCCUGAAGUUCUAUAUAACUACAUUUCUGAAGACUUUCCAGAUUGUAUUACUAUGUAGUCAAUGGUCCAGAAAGAAAAUGACUAUAAGGAGAAUUUAUGAACCUUGUGCAAAAAGAGAGAUGAGUGAAUUGCACUUUUAUUUCACAUUAAUUCCCUCUUUUUUGUCAUCCUCCUGUUAACUGUACACAGAAAAGUUUGAACUUGAUCUUAAUGCCAAAGUAGAAAAGAUGGGUUUUAUAAUUCAAAAUAUGUUGUGCAGUUAAGAACUACUAGUUCCUAUCCAUCUCCAUUCAUGAACAAAGGAAAUAUAUACUAUAGGCUGUAAUUCAAGACUCAAAGACAUGGGAGGGAUCCCAAAUUUACUUUGCUUUGCUUUGUCCAGUUGCUGCCUUACAUCUGACCUUCCUCACAUCACAGUCUUUCCACCAUAUUCCUGGGUGCUGCUGCCCAUGUUUUCAUUGCAGAAAAUAUAGAAAUCUUACAUUGGCUAAUCUUUCUCUCUGUGCAGUUCACAUCUAAAGGCCAUCAUGCACCACAGUCAUAUGGAUUUGACUAAUUUUUGAGUUAAAUAUGCUUUUGAGUGGAAAAAGAGAGGGGCAUCUCUCUGCAAAGUGGACAAACUCUUGCAGCUCUGAGGCAACUCUUGCAAAGAGUUGCACAAAAAAAAAAAAAACAGCUGAAAGCUAAGUUUUAUGCCUGAGGGACAGUGACCAGAGUAACAGGGUAAUUUUCUUCUGCUCUCUUUGUGCAUCCAGUAUAAACACGUCUGGAUUUGUUGGACUUUGAGGAUUAGUAAGUUGCAUGAGUGGAGGAUCUGCUCUACCCAAGAUUAAAGAAAUAGGUCCUGGUAUUUUGACAAAGCCAGUCAACAGGAAACCUAGACUUUUCAGACCAGGUUACCUGGACUUAAGGUAUUUGAAGUGAGUCAACCAGACAGAGAACACUGUUGAGUCUGGUCCUUUAAUGGGGAGUAAUUCACAUGGCAACACCUUGGACUGUUGUCAACAUUUCUGCAGUACUGAAUCAGCCUGGAGCAGCAGCUGCAAGAGUACUCAACUUAUCAGAAAGCACAUUUUGAUGUCUACCUAAAUGGGAGAAUACAUUUAAAAACUUAGGUGGAACUACAAAAAUCUGGUCCCUUCACAAUGCAUCAUUCAACCUUUCAAGUGUCUCCAUGUCCCUCCCAACUCCUAGACCUACCUGCAGCUGAAUAGAAAGAGUGAAAUCACCUAAGAUGGCAGAGCUGUUCAAGCCUUGCUGUUGUCUGAGAGGAAGCAGAAAUUACUUUUCUGUCUGCCUAUCCCCUGCUGCAGAGACCUGCCUCCUCUUUUGCAGCUUCUGUGGGAGCUCGGUGAGCUCAGGGUGCUGCACUGGGAUCUCUGUUCACACAAACCAGAGUGGUGCUGUGCCAUGGCCUGCUGGGAUAACUCUGCCAUCAAGUGAAGAACAGACAGCCUUUUAUAGACCCACUGCUGACCUUGUUAAAACAAUAAGGAUGUUCUCUUCCCUCUAGAUGCAUGGUCUGGAAAAUAUUUGUGCUCCUGCAAAUUUUGGAAGAGAUGUCAAAAGGAGGAUAUUUUUUGAAUGUCUUCAGAACACAAAUCGUGUUUAAUGAGUUUUUUUCACCUUUUUGUAAAGAAGUAGCAACACACAUUUUCCCACAAGAUGGCAGAGGCGAGUUGUGAAAUUUAUGGGCAAAUAUGUAUGGAGACACAUGAAAAUCUGAAAAUAGAAGAUACAGGCUCAAUAAACCAACAAAACAGAGUAUCAUGUAUUAUAUUAUGGGCUCCCAGCAAGGUGAUAUCACCUCGCCCUUCACAGGCAAGGAGAGCUGCCACACAGCCUCAAAGCCAGCAGUGCAGCAGACAGCAGGGAUGGACUGACGCUCUCAGCUGCUGUAGGGGGAACAAGAAGAAGCAAGGUUGAAGAAAUUCACUUGUAUAUUUGGAAACUUCAUGAGGUUCUGUAAAAAGACGGAGCAAAAAGACACCGCUCCAGUAGAGCUUAUUGCCCUCUCUGAGAAAUGAUGCA